rnacentral:rRNA from 1 species
UACGGAGGGUGCAAGCGUUGUUCGGAAUCACUGGGCGUAAAGGGCGCGCAGGCGGUUUGGUAAGUCAGAUGUGAAAGCCCACGGCUCAACCGUGGAAGUGCAUUUGAAACUGCCAGACUUGAGUACCAGAGGGGAAAGUGGAAUUCCCGGUGUAGAGGUGAAAUUCGUAGAUAUCGGGAGGAAUACCGGUGGCGAAGGCGACUUUCUGGCUGGAUACUGACGCUGAGGCGCGAAAGCGUGGGGAGCAAACAGGAUUAGAUACCCUAGUAGUCC